GCCACCUCCUCGCUCCACCCCUGCCUGGCACCUGGCUGCCCCUUUUGGCACCAGACUAGCAGCUGGGUGGGUGCUGAGGACACCUGGUUGCCACGAUCCCCAGGGUGGGUGCAGCUGCUUGGCACCCCGCAGCAGGCCUGGCGGGAGGGACCGCUCGGGGUCUCUUUGGCAGGUGAGCAGGUGGAAGAGCUCGGGUUACAAAAGGGAGAGCUCAAGGCCAAAAUCACAUUGCUGGAAGAGCAACUGAAAAAGGAGGAGGAGAAGCAUGAGGUCAUAGUCAAGAUCCUGGAGCAGAAAGCAAUGCUGGACAAGGAGAGCCUGAUGAAGGAGAUGGAGCAGCGGGUGGAAACUUUGGCAAGUGAGGCUCACAGGAGCAUGUCCGAGACCACCCAACAGGUCAUCCAGGAGAACGUGGCCCUCAGGGCCCAGCUGGGCAGGUUGAACAGCUACAACAGGGACCUCCUGAAGGAUAACGAAGAGCUCCAGGCAGUCAUACAUGACCUGAAGAUGCAAGUGGAUCUCCUGGAGGACAGGGAGAAGGAGAUGGCCAGGCGCAUGAUCUGCAACCGCAAGGUAAUCUCGACGCUAACCACGUUAUGUGAGAUGCUCCAGGGGCUGGGGGACGAGAGCGAGUGGAAGAAGGUCCAGGGCCAGCUGGAGCAGCUGAAGGAGGCAGCAGCGAUGCUGCGCUGCCAGGAGGCCUCAUGGGGGAAGGCAAGGAAGGCAAUGUCUGAACAGCACCGCCAGGCUGGGGCCUUGAAAGAGGCGAUGAGGCGCAUGGGGAGCGUGGAGAGUAUUCUGAGCGAGGGCAGAGCCAGCAGCCAGGACCUCAGGGAGAGGCCACCAGAGAAGAUGGGAAAAUCCUUGCACUGGGCAAGGUUGCGGAACAUGCUGAUGAUGCAGCAGGUGCAAAAGUCCCCAGUGGAGAGCGUGCUGCUGGCUUUGAAGAAGGAUAGCAAGACCUGUGAACUAAAUGCACCCAAAAGGAGGUACACUGCACCCCUCUCUGGCACGCAUGCAGCCUUCCUCCUCCUGGCACAUUCAGCAGGGCCCUGCUAA
rnacentral:lncRNA from 1 species